CACGUAGGGGGCAAGCGUUGUCCGGAUUUAUUGGGCGUAAAGAGCUCGUAGGUGGUUCGGUAAGUCGGGUGUUAAACCCCCAGGCUCAACCUGGGGACGCCACUCGAUACUGCUGUGACUAGAGUCCGGUAGGGGACCACGGAAUUCCUGGUGUAGCGGUGAAAUGCGCAGAUAUCAGGAGGAACACCGGUGGCGAAGGCGGUGGUCUGGGCCGGAACUGACGCUGAGGAGCGAAAGCGUGGGGAGCGAACAGG
rnacentral:rRNA from 1 species